GCCAGGUUUAGGGAAAAUAAUUAACAUUUGUUGAUUUUUUUUAGAUGUUUAUUUGACAUCUAGAAGAGAUGUAGAGGCCAUACUGGAUAUGGAAGUCUAUAGUUUGGGGAGAGAGCAAAGCUGGAGACAUAAAAUUUGGAAGUCAAUAGCAUAUUUGUCCUUUAAGGUCUUGAGACUUGAUGAGAUUACAUAGGAGCAGAGUCUAAUAGAGAGCUAAUGAGGUCACAAUACUGAACCCUCAUGUCUUUAUGACAUUUGGAGGUCGGUAAAAGAGGAUUCAGUAAGUGGGAGAAAAACCAGAAGACAACUUGACUUUAGAGCUGGGAAUAAAAGUCUCACUUAAAAGAGUGAAAUGAAAACUGACCAAGAACAAAGGCAUCAUUAAUUUCAAGUGGAAGAAAUAAUUCACAAACCUGAGAAUAGCAGUUUCCUUCUGAUUUGGGAUCGCUUUUGCCUAUCAUGCAGCAGCACCUUAUCAUGUCACUUGAAAAGGUUCUUGAAAACCAUUGUCAAAAGACUGAAAGAAGAAGACAAGCAGAUCAGCUGUUCCCUGGAAUACAAGUACUGUCGUGAGCUAUUAUAUGCACUGAAUCUUUUAAUCACCCUAGCAACCUGUGACAUAGUCUCACUCUGUUGUCCAGGCUGAGAUGCAGUGGUGCAAUCACAGCUCACUGUAGCCUUGAACUCCCAGGCUCAGAGGGUCUAAAGAGGAGCUACCUUGUCACUCGCUUGAGGAUUCAUCAGCAACAGAAGAGGAAGCUGAUCUAGGGGGAUGCUGCUGAUUGUCUGUAAGCCAUACAAGGAGUAGACAGUUCACAGAGGAGCAGAUGCCACAGCCACCAUUAUCUUGUCUGUGUGUGUGUUCUUCAUUCGUUCCUAGGAUAAGGCUUUUGCAAGGAGAAUAAUGCUCUUUUCCCUUUUGUGGAGGUAAACUUGUAUGUGGAUGAUCAUACUUGUAUGCAACCUACUGUAAGAGAAAAACAUAAUAAAUCCUACAAAUAAAAAAUAACAUUUUGCUCACAUCACAGUUGGGAAUGGGUUGCAGGGUCCUCUGAGGCAGCUGUCCUUUAAGUGUUUACUCAGGGAUCUCAGCAUUGCUGCCUUUGACUAUGUGGCUACAUCAUCUUGGGCCAAGAGAUCAUGGAAGAUUAUUUGGGACUGCAGGUACAUAGUUCUGGUGAAAACUCUGAAGAAGGUAUGUGAGCAAUUAAAAUUUGUCAAAUGCAGUGUUAGGUGACAACCUGCAUCGGAUUUCUAGAUAGCCAGUGUUUGAUGGAAUCUCCCUGGUGUUGGCUCUCUAGACCAUUUGUUCUAGGGACCUGUCUGCCCAACUGGACUUCCUGCCUUGUCUCAUAGUGCCUCCCUGAUGUCUCCUCAACUGCAACUCCAAAUCCCAGCCACUCUCUGUCUGCAUCCCUCAGCUACACAGUCCCCUUCCUGGUCCUCUGCAUGAUGAAAUAAGUCAAGUAGACCGGUUCAAACUUCUCCACUGGGACUGCAAACUGUGAUCUCAGACAAUGAAGCAUGGCCUCCUAAAGUUAUAAGCCCAGGCAUUCCAGAGAGACAGAAUGUUGGAAAAUGCCUUAUGUUAAAUGCAAUAAGGCAAAUGAAAGAACAUGCUUUAAAAAUAAUAAGAUCUGAGAGAAGUGUGUUUUAUUUAAUUAUUAUAU